rnacentral:lncRNA from 1 species
ACUGCUUGGCUUCGCCCUCUAGGUGGAAGGAAGCGAGUUGCACCUUUUAUUCAUCGGGAAUGCCUUGAUAGUCGAAGAAUUGUUCGACGCGGCUGAGCCAUUCGGUCAUAUCAUCACUUAAAAAGAUAGAGAAUUCUAACUUCGCAAAUUUAAAGAAGAAAGGUUGGCGGCCCCUGUCAUUCCUUUUAGUUCCCUCAUCGUG